rnacentral:hammerhead_ribozyme from 1 species
GCACUUCUGAAGAGUCUCAAACUAGGAAGACGAAACAGCUGUCCAGUAC